GGCAGUGUAGCAUAGUGGUUAAGGAGUAGGACUCGUAACCGAAAGGUUGCUGGUUCAAUUCCCUGGGGCACUGCUG